GAGAACCCUAGGAAAUACAGGAGUGCAAGUAGCUUGCUGGUCCUACAUUUUCAUCCAUUACGCCCUUCUUGUUGCUUAUGUGGCUCGUUCUUCAGAUAUAUUGACAACCUUCACCGGGAUUCCGUUGUGUUGAUGGCAGCAUUAUGAUUGCAGAUGGGAAACUGCGACCUUGUUUUCACUGCUUCUUGGAGGGAUUUGCUUCUCUGGAAGCCAGCGGACUAUCGGA
rnacentral:misc_RNA from 1 species